CGUAGAGAAAUCGAGUCUUAAUAGGGCGUUUAGUUGCUGGGUAUAGACCCGAAACCAGGCGAUCUAUCCAUGAGCAGGUUGAAGGUUGGGUAACACUAACUGGAGGACCGAACCCACUGUCGUUGAAAAGCCAGGGGAUGACUUGUGGAUAGGGGUGAAAGGCUAAUCAAGCCUGGUGAUAGCUGGUUCUCCCCGAAAGCUAUUUAGGUAGCGCCUCGGACGAAUACCAUAGGGGGUAGAGCACUGUUUCGGCUAGGGGGUCAUCCCGACUUACCAAACCGAUGCAAACUCCGAAUACCUAUGAGUACUAUCCGGGAGACAGACUGCGGGUGCUAACGUCCGUAGUCAAGAGGAAAACAAUCCAGACCGCCAGCUAAGGCCCCAAAAUCAUAGUUAAGUGGGAAACGAUGUGGGAAGGCAUAGACAGCUAGGAGGUUGGCUUAGAAGCAGCCACCCUUUAAAGAAAGCGUAAUAGCUCACUAGUCGAGUCGGCCUGCGC
rnacentral:rRNA from 1 species